UUCCAAAGAAAGGUACUGUGGAGGGC
rnacentral:piRNA from 3 species